AGAGUUUGAUCCUGGCUCAGAACAAACGCUGGCGGCGUGUCUUAAGCAUGCAAGUCGAGCGGCAAGGGCAGCAAUGCCCCUAGAGCGGCGGACUGGUGAGUAACGCGUGGGUGAUCUACCUUGGGCAUGGGGAUAGCCAUUAGAAAUAGUGGGUAAUACCGAAUACGUUCGUUACCGUGAGGGUAACGAGGAAAGGCGCUACGGCGCCGGCCUGGAGAUGAGCUUGCGUCUGAUUAGCUAGUUGGUGAGGUAAUGGCUCACCAAGGCGAUGAUCGGUAGCCGGCCUGAGAGGGUGUACGGCCACACUGGGACUGAGAUACGGCCCAGACUCCUACGGGAGGCAGCAGCUAAGAAUAUUCCGCAAUGGACGAAAGUCUGACGGAGCGACGCCGCGUGGAUGAUGAAGGCCGAAAGGUUGUAAAGUCCUUUUGCUGGGGAAGAAUAAGCGUGGGAGGGAAUGCCCGCGUGAUGACAUGAACCGGCGAAUAAGCCCCGGCUAACUACGUGCCAGCAGCCGCGGU
rnacentral:rRNA from 1 species